rnacentral:rRNA from 1 species
UACGGGGGGGGCAAGCGUUGUUCGGAAUUACUGGGCGUAAAGGGCUCGUAGGCGGCCAACUAAGUCGGAUGUGAAAUCCCCAGGCUUAACCUGGGAACUGCAUCCGAUACUGGAUGGCUUGAAUCCGGGAGAGGGAUGCGGAAUUCCAGGUGUAGCGGUGAAAUGCGUAGAUAUCUGGAGGAACACCGGUGGCGAAGGCGGCAUCCUGGACCGGCAUUGACGCUGAUGCGCGAAAGCCAGGGUAGCAAACGGG